GAAUCACUUUACCCUCAAUUUAAUCUAUUCGUGAAAGAGAAAAAUAUCCCACUCUAAUAUUCACUUUCAUAGUUUCACCUCAUUUACUCUGAAAGAACCGUCGGUCUCUGCACCGCCGAACCCACCGUCGCUCCCACUGUUGCACGCCUAUGGUCAUCGGCACACCGGCGCACCGCCAUACCCACCGAAGCACCAUCGCACUGCUGCACCGUUGCGCCACCACUGCACUUACUAGAAAUUUGCCUUGUUCUGGUAAAUAUAUACAAAUAUAUGGAAGUUGCAUAAGGGGUUACUCUCUGUCUCUCAAAGUGGACCCUCGAGCAAAUUAGCAGUGAAUCUUGGUGUACCAGAACUCCUACAGCUUGCUCUGCUGCACUUUUGAUUCUACAAUGGCUGAGUGCUUUCAUCAUGAGAGCUUACAGUCCUUUGGCUAUGGGCAUACUGUUUGGUAAAUACUUUGGAGAUGAUAGAGGUCCUGCAGAUGCUCGAUUGAAUCUUUUCAAAGGAAGAUAUUCAGAAGGGGAAUCCAGGUAUAGCCUGUCCAAUGCUGCUACAAAAUUAGCAUAUUCUUUUCAGCUUUGGAAGGACUUGUAACUCCUGUUAAUCUGAUAACAUGUUCUUGCUCUAUGUUGGUUACUAUUUCUAAACUCAACAUGCAACAACAACUAGUUAGAUCAUAUGAUGUACUUGGAACUUUUAGCUACCUCAGUGCUGAGAACAAGGCAGUCAAAUGUUUAAUACUUGUAUUUCUUGGAUAUGCAUGCUAUGGAGCCUUGGCAUUUUUGUGCUGACAACUUGAGUUGUUAAUGUAUUCACUUUUACUGCAGGAGUACCUUCAUAUAGCAGAAAAGUACGGCCUUCACCCAGUUUCUUUGGCAAUUGCUUUUAUUUGAAGCACCCCCUUGUAGCAAGUGCUGUUUUAGGAGCAACCAAGAUAUGGCAGCUUCAGGAGAUUGUUAAUGCAUUUCGUAUUGAGUUAUCAGCUGAAGUAGUUGCUAAGAUAAACAAGGUUCAUUCAAGAUUUCCAAAUCCAUGUCCCUAGGAUUGGUAACGUGAGAUAAUAUUUUUUUUAUUUAGAUUAAUUAAUUUUUGGCCCUAAAUUUAUGGCUUUGCUUGUAACUUAUAAGACUUGUAAGUGUGUGCAUCUUUGGACUUAUAAACCAUGGAGUUAGCUGUUUUGGAUUGAAUUGUAACAGGUUGUAAUCCAUUUAGUAGGAUAUACUACCAUUUUGUAUUCGAAUCAAAUAUUUAUUAUAAAAAAAUUAUUUAUU